CAUAUACUUGCACACAUCAAUUUGGACUAAAAUCGGCAACCGUCAAAGACCAACACACUCAGCAUCUCAUGCGGGCCACGCUUCUCGGUGACGGGAUAUCUGUCUAUGUUCCUGUAUUCCCCGCAUAUUUCCAGACUGCCAUGUUAAUGCAUGUCGUACCCAGCCUGCAAUAAGCUGGGCCCCGUCUUGCAUGUCGCUAGUUGGUGCGCGCAAAGGGAGCCAGGAACCAGCUUAAGCCUGCAAUGACGGACUUUACCGAGACGUGACGGAAUCGUUUCUGUGACGUCACAAUCGCAAGGCCGCCAUUGCCUGAGUAGCAACCAGUUUCGCAUCAGUUGACCGCAUAAGCUCUGCCCAAAUUGUCUUUUCUCUGCGUUUCCAAGUAUGAACGAGAUCCAUCUACCCGAUUUUCAUCAUCUCCAGAACGACGGGGAACUCUUGAACCCUUCUCGUUUCUGGGUGGACAUAAUGAAGUCCCGGGUAGGCAUCAGCAAUUCAUACGCCGAAAAGCUGCUCGACUGGUGUCAGGAUUGUAGGACUAAGCUUGGCACUGUCAGUCAAGAUGCUUGUUCCGAGAGUUAUGAGAUU